UACGGAAGGCAGCAGUGGGGAAUAUUGCACAAUGGGCGAAAGCCUGAUGCAGCUAUGCCGCGUGUAUGAAGAAGGCCUUAGGGUUGUAAAGUACUUUCAUCGGGGAGGAAAAACAAAACUAAUAAUUUUAUUUCUUGACGUUACCCGAAAAAGAAGCACCGGCUAACUCCGUGCCAGCAGCCGCGGUAAUACGGGGGGUGCUAGCGUUAAUCAGAAUUACUGGGCGUAAAGAGCACGUAGGUGGUUUUUUAAGUCAGAUGUGAAAUCCCUGGGCUUAACCUAGGAACUGCGUUUUGAAACUGAAAUACUAGAGUAUCGUAGAGGGAGGUAGAAUUCUAGGUGUAGCGGUGAAAUGCGUAGAUAUCUGGAGGAAUACCUGUGGCGAAAGCGGCCUCCUAAACGAAUACUGACACUGAGGGUGCGAAAGCGUGGGGAGCAAACAGGGAUUAGAUACC
rnacentral:rRNA from 1 species